rnacentral:rRNA from 1 species
AUUGAACGCUGGCGGCAGGCCUAACACAUGCAAGUCGAGCGAGCGGCGGACGGGUGAGUAAUGUCUGGGAAACUGCCUGAUGGAGGGGGAUAACUACUGGAAACGGUAGCUAAUACCGCAUACCAUCAGAUGUGCCCAGAUGGGAUUAGCUAGUAGGUGGGGUAACGGCGCACCUAGGCGACGAUCCCUAGCUGGUCUGAGCGGAUGACCAGCGACACUGGAACGGAGACACGGUACAGACGCCUACGGGAGGCAGCAGUGGGGAAUAUUGCACAAUGGGCGCAAGCCUGAUGCAGCGAUGCCGCGGGUGUGAAGAGGGCCUUCGGGUUGUAAAGAACUUUCAGCGGGGAGGCGUUACCCGCAGAAGAAGCACCGGCUAACUCCGUGCCAGCCGCCGCGGUAAUAC